GCAUUGUAGGGUUGUUACUACUAUGGACUGCGAUCCAGGAAACAAUUGUCAAAUCAAACUUACAUUCUUCUUUUUACAUGAGGCAUUCUUUCUGUUUAUUCAUUCUUCUCUCAAUGAGUAACUUAUGGUUUUAAAUCCAAAUGGUGGAAUGGAGAGUGAUAAAAUGGAUUUGUUGUGGAUUCCUUGGGGGUUGCAAACCGAAGUUCAGGUAUUUAAAAUGAUCAUACUGCUCCAGACCUACAAUACAUGCCCAGUUUUGAAGAUUGAAACGAUGACGGCCGAAUCUUUUGGCUCACACACUUAUCUGAAUAUCGAAAUCUCAACUGGGACUUCUCAUGACCUUAAGUUCUCAUCAAACCAACUUUUGAUUUAAUAGCAGGUGAGAUCUUAGAUAGGAUAAAUGUCAAAGCAACAUAGAAGGAGAUGAAAAAUUAGUUCAAAAGUCGUUUGUAUUUCUUUGAACUACUAAGACAUGAGCCUUAUUAUGUAAAUGUGCUACUGUCGUUGCACCGAAACACAAUAGUCAGUUUAGUAAAUUUCAUUUUUUAUA